CCACCACCCUAGGCGGGCGCGCGGGCUCGGCGGCGGGGGGCGCGCGCUUCCCCUCUCCCCCCGCCCACACCGCGCGCACGACCCCACGCGCGACCGCGGGCAGUGCCCGGAGCUGGCUCCCCACCGCAUCCUGCGCGGGCGCUCGCUCACCUCCGUCCCACCCCCCGGGUGUCUCUAUUCGUUUUUAUGCAAGUUGGCCUGCAGUCCCAGCCUUAGCGCAUCCCCAUCCGCUUUCACGUUGCGUGCAGUCCCCAGAAUCGCCUCGAGGGGGCGCGCUGUACCUUAACCAGCAGCCAGAAGCGGAACCCAGCAUGUUUAAAGUCAGCCUGGGUACAAGAAGCACUGUCUCAGUGUGAGGGCUGGAGGUGUGUGCUCACACUGAAGUACGGAGGAGCCACAGAACCAUGCAGAGCCACAGGAGUCCUCGGACCUGUACACAGCACAUAGCAACCACAUCAUUGGUGUCAAGGACCUCCUGUCCAACCAGAUGAACACGGCCGAAGCUGACAAGAUUCACAGGCAGGUUAAGUGAACAGUUUAAACUCAUUCCAGCUGUGGGGUGGAGGAGGGAGGUAGGGAGGAAGGGGCAGAGGGGCGGGGUGGGGGGGAGCAGGCAUGAGGGGUCACUAUUU